UACGAAGGGGGCUAGCGUUGUUCGGAAUUACUGGGCGUAAAGCGCGCGCAGGCGGUUCUUCAAGUCAGAGGUGAAAGCCCAGGGCUCAACCCUGGAAUGGCCUUUGAGACUAGAGAACUUGGGUACGGGAGAGGUGAGUGGAAUUCCGAGUGUAGAGGUGAAAUUCGUAGAUAUUCGGAAGAACACCAGUGGCGAAGGCGGCUCACUGGCCCGUUACCGACGCUCAGGCGCGACAGCGUGGGGAGCAAACAGG
rnacentral:rRNA from 2 species